rnacentral:rRNA from 1 species
CCUACGGGUGGCAGCAGUGAGGAAUAUUGGUCAAUGGGCGAGAGCCUGAACCAGCCAAGUCGCGUGAGGGAAGACGGUCCUAUGGAUUGUAAACCCCUUUUGCCGGGGAGCAAAAAGCGGUACGCGUACCGCAUCGAGAGUACCCGGAGAAAAAGCAUCGGCUAACGCGGUGCCAGCAACCGCGGUAAUACGGAGGAUGCAAGCGUUAUCGGGAUUUGUUGGGUGUAAAGGGUGGGCAGGCGGCGAGUAAAGUGAGCGGUAAAAUUUCGGGGCUCAACCCCGAAAAGCCGUUGAAACUGGGUUGCUAGAGUGGGCGAGAAGUAUGCGGAAUGCGUGGUGUAGCGGUGAAAUGCAUAGAUAUCACGCAGAACUCCGGUUGCGAAGGCAGCAUACUGGCGCCCAACUGACGCUCAGGCACGAAAGCGUGGGUAUCGAACAGGAUUAGAUACCCUAGUAGUC